rnacentral:misc_RNA from 1 species
GAACGCAUAUUGCACCCUCAGGUCUUUUCCAGAGGGUAUGCCUGUUUGAGUGUCAUUAAUACAUCAAUGUAGACUUGUCUUUUGACUUUCUCUACACUUGGAAGUUGAAGGCUUGCUGGUUGUCAUGAUCAGCUCCUUUGAAAAGUAUUAGUGGACCCGUUUGUGUUCAUCCUUAGUGUGAUAAUUAUCUACGCUAUGGCUUUGAAUGCAUGCUCAUUAGAAUCUUCGAGCUGUUUUACUGCAGUCUUGGUGUGGAGAGUUGCAUGAAUUUGCUCUUUCUGUCUCUUGAGUCAGGAUUGUCUGCUUCAAACCGUCUACAUUGUAGACAAUUUUGAACCAUUUGACCUCAAAUCAGGUAGGAUUACCCGCUGAACUUAAG